AGUGAACGCUGGCGGUAGGCCUAACACAUGCAAGUCGAACGGCAGCACAGUAAGAGCUUGCUCUUACGGGUGGCGAGUGGCGGACGGGUGAGGAAUACAUCGGAAUCUACUUUUUCGUGGGGGAUAACGUAGGGAAACUUACGCUAAUACCGCAUACGACCUACGGGUGAAAGCAGGGGAUCUUCGGACCUUGCGCGAUUGAAUGAGCCGAUGUCGGAUUAGCUAGUUGGCGGGGUAAAGGCCCACCAAGGCGACGAUCCGUAGCUGGUCUGAGAGGAUGAUCAGCCACACGGGAACUGAGACACGGUCCAGACUCCUACGGGAGGCAGCAGUGGGGAAUAUUGGACAAUGGGCGCAAGCCUGAUCCAGCCAUACCGCGUGGGUGAAGAAGGCCUUCGGGUUGUAAAGCCCUUUUGUUGGGAAAGAAAAGCAGCAGGUUAAUACCCCACUGUUCUGACGGUACCCAAAGAAUAAGCACCGGCUAACUUCGUG
rnacentral:rRNA from 1 species